AUGGGCUGGAUGGUUGGUGCAAGUCUCUGUGACUUUUCUGGAUGGUGCUUGGAUGGACAAAAGAAGCGAACAUAUACAGAUCUAAUGAACGCGCUGAAUUGGUUUCUGUUCAGCAUUUCUCACUGGACUACCAGAGAAAGGAAAUUAAAUCAACUCACGACAGCUAUCUUGCACAUCUCACCUGGGAAGGUAUGCAUAAGAGAGAAAGGCAGAUUAUGAACUGGAAGAAUUUCUAAAACACGUGAUACUGUUUCCCCCACCCUUCAUGGAGCAAAAAAGGAUAUUUUUCUGGUAGAGCUCUCAGAUUUCUAAACCUGCCAAAGUCCUUGUGUCCCUUGAUGUGCUUGGUAGCAUCUUGUGGAGUGAGAAAACUACCAGGUAAACCAUGGUUGCAUGACUCUUCUUGGAUUCCUUGUCUUCAACUCCUUUAUGUCUGACAUCAUGAAGUCAUUGUAGAUGAGCCUUCAGGUCAACUUCUAUGCCUAACCUCCUUGAGAAGUGUUAUCGUCAUAACAGAGAUUGUUAGUUUAAAUCAUACCCUUUGUUGCAUAACAGGCAUUAUCCCUUGCUGACUGUACGUGUGACAAUGCUAUCACGAUGUAUUACAAGCUUCAGUACUGAAUAACUUCAGUCAAAGGACAAGUAGAGGCGUUAUGUAUUUCUGAAGCAGGCAACCUUCAUACAUAAGGGCACUGAGCUUGCUGUUGCUAAAUUACUUCUAAAAUAUGGUGAGAUAUUUGGAAUUAAGUUUCCUAUGUACUUGAUCUGUGCCCAGCUCUUUGUAUGGGUUUAUGGACCAUGAAUAAUGAAAGGGACUUUGUACAUUAAUAUCUGGAAAGUCAUAAAAGGAUACAUAUCUCCACCCAAGACAACAAACCUAAAAAAUGCUAAAACCUAAAAUAGUAGCUGAGGAGGUGAGUUUAAUUGAUAAAACUCUCCAGACUAUCUUCUGAGCUAUGUUGCUUGCCGUAUUAUUAAAAUUGCAACGAUAAUCAAGAUAGUUAUUUUAGGAUUUUUUGUUUGUUUGUUUUCAAGGACCAGAUGCACAGGUCAUUUUCUGCUAGUCAUAGUCAGGACAGCCUCUCAACAGAUGAAGGUUGGGUGUGGGACAGUCCAGAAGUUUAACAGUUGUUUUGCUCAUCCUUUCUAGAAAAUGAGCAUCCUUCCUAGAAAACUUUGAGCAGUGCCCAAUGCUAUGUAAGAAACGGGAAGGAAAAAA
rnacentral:lncRNA from 1 species